GAAAUGCGAUAAGUAAUGCGAAUUGCAGAAUUUCCGUGAGUCAUCGAAUCUUUGAACGCACCUUGCGCUCCUUGGUAUUCCUUGGAGCAUGCCUGUUUGAGUAUCAUGAAAUCUUCAAAGUAAAUCUUUUGUUAACUCAAUUGGUUUCUACUUUGGUAUUGGAGGUCUUUGCAGCUUCACACCUGCUCCUCUUUGUUCAUUAGCUGGAUCUCAGUGUUAUGCUUGGUUCCACUCGGCGUGAUAAGUUAUCUAUCGCUGAGGACACUGUAAAAGGUGGCCAAGGUAAAUGCAGAUGAACCGAUUCUAAUAGUCCAUUGACUUGGACAAUACUUUUAUGAUCUGAUCUCAAAUCAGGUAGGACUACCCGCUGAACUUAAGC
rnacentral:misc_RNA from 1 species